UACGUAGGGUGCGAGCGUUAAUCGGAAUUACUGGGCGUAAAGCGUGCGCAGGCGGUUCGUUAAGUCAGAUGUGAAAGCCCCGGGCUCAACCUGGGAACUGCAUUGAAACUGGCGGGCUUGAGUAUGGCAGAGGGGGGUGGGAAUUCCGCGUGUAGCAGUGAAAAUGCGUAGAUAUGCGGAGGAACACCGAUGGCGAAGGCAAUCCCCCUCGGGCCUGCACUGACGCUCAUGCACGAAAGCGUAGGGG
rnacentral:rRNA from 1 species